rnacentral:rRNA from 1 species
UAUGUGAUCGUCUCUCGCAUAUCAAUAAGCGGAGGAAAAGAAACUAACAAGGAUUCCCCUAGUAACGGCGAGUGAAGCGGGAAGAGCUCAAAUUUGAAAUCUUAAAGGGUUUCCCUUACGAAUUGUAGUUUAAAGAAGUGUUUUCUGUUGAGGUUUUGGUAAAAGUUCUUUGGAAUAGGACAUCAUAGAGGGUGAGAAUCCCGUAUUUGACCUUUACUUUCAACUUUGUGAUACACUUUCAAAGAGUCGGAUUGUUUGGGAAUGCAGUCCAAAAUGGGUGGUAAAUUUCAUCUAAAGCUAAAUAUUGGCGAGAGACCGAUAGCGAACAAGUACCGUGAGGGAAAGAUGAAAAGAACUUUGAAAAGAGAGUUAAACAGUACGUGAAAUUGUCAAAAGGGAAGCGUUUGACACCAGUGUUGUUUUUCUGAAAAUCAAUUAAAGAACUGUUUAUGCUAAGUUGUUUAGACUUUAUCAGCUAACUGUUUAGUUUUGAGCUUUUCUUUAAUGCACUUUUCAGUUAGCAAGUCAACAUCAAUUUCUUUUGCUGUAAAAAAGCUUGAGGAAGGUGGCUUGAGAUUCGUCUUAAGUGUUUAUAGCCUCUUGCCUAUGCAGUCGGAGAGAUUGAGGUCUGCAGCGUAGAUCCUUCGGGGCUAAAUGCAUUUGUGCUAAGUUAUAGCAUUUUAUAGACAACUUGUUGACUAUGAUUUGUCUUGUAGCUUACUCGCUUAUGUUAUUUUACCUACGCUUAGGAUGUUGAAGACUCUACAGAGAU